CCACGGACGUGAUGACGCGCUACGCCGCCGGUUGGACGGAGCCCCGCGUCCAGAGCGCCCGUUUUGAAGUGGCCGGCCCGGCCCCUGGGUCCUUUGUGAGGCGAGAACGGUGGAAGCCGCCACGCCCCUGCGCCGCGCGCUCCAGCCCGUUCUGAGGAUGAAGGUGGAGCUCUUUCUGCGGUUGCUGAGAGCGGCGCGCAGCGCGUGUUCCACGAGUGCCUGCGCGCGGCCCAGGCCCCUAGUGUCGCUGUCCACGUGGCCGUCUCCGCGGACGCCGGGAUGCCAGCACCCGCCCCGGGCGGACCCGGACCUCCGGACGCCCAUGCUGCCGCCCAACCCCGGGGCGGAUUCCCCGGCCGUGGCGCCCACUGACCCGCGGGGCCCAGAGGCGGGAGAUGCAGGGCGGAGGUCUGCGGCUGCCCCUUAGACUGGAAAGGACUCCUGUUCCACUGGGCUGGGAGCUGGCACAGAGGAUCUGUAUUCUGUACUGCUUCAUGGCCAUGUGGUGCAGAAUCCUCCGCAACUGCCAGGACGACAGGGCAGGUUCCUGUAAUUGCUUGCUGAACCUCGGCGUGACUUCCUAGAGCAGGAGGAUUUUGUCCCCUUCCUGUAGGUGACCCAGUGGAUCUACGCAGUCAGCAGGUCCUGGUCUGGGCACAUCAGCUGCUCUGAGCUCAGGAGGAGCUGCUUCCUGCAGGUGUGUGCCUGGAACCACCACCCAUGAUGGGACACCUUAUUCCCAGGACAGGAGACCCCACCCCCAAAGAAGAUCCCACCUCUGGGAUAGGAGACCCCAGUCCCACCAUGGCAGGAAAUCCUACUGCUCCACAACCUAAGGCCUUGAAAGCCCCACCCCCAUCCUGCAGCCCUUGCCCCCACCCCUUUGAAACUGAGGCCCUGCCCUCAUCCUGAGGCCCUGCCCGCUGCAGUUGGUGGCUCUGCUGGAAGAGGCGGUGGAACUGAGCCAACAGAGCAAGUGCUAGUGCUAGGACCAUGUCUAUGUCAUCCAGUGUGCUUUCCGCGAACUUGAUACUGAUUAGGAUCUGCUGGACAGCUGGGACCUGGCCUGGCACCAUGACCAUGGUCAGGGCCCCCUCUGAACCCUGCCCUGGGCCCCCAGAAUCCCCAGGAACACUCCAUGCUGACUCUAGCCACCAGCCUCGCCCUUCACAGCUCACAGGCCUCACGUCUUCCUCCAAAGCCAUCUCCAACAAGAUGAUUGACAGGAUAUUCUCAAGUGCCAUCAUGUGGUAGGUGGAGGUCCCUGGUUGGGGAGCACAGGUGAUGACAUCACGGGUGAUAACAUUGUGGAGAUGAUGACAUCACUGGUAUCCAUCACAUCAGAUCAGGGACAGUGUGGACAGCAUGGGGUGGGGGCCUCAGGUCCAGUGCAGGACUCCUGGGGUUCCCUUUGAGAGGUUUGAUGGGGGUACCUCCAGCUGGGACAGGCUCAUCUGACCCUGGCCUGUGUCCACUGACUGCUGCUGACCACUGCUGAUUGCAGCUAACUUCAGGGACAGGACAGGGCAGAGGGCAGGGAAGAUGAGCUUUGAGGCUUCGUGUGGUUCCUGCUCUCUGAGAAAGAAAAGACCACACCCACCCGGUGGGUCCUUAGGCUGCACAGGCAGGCAGUUGGUGGAUUUUGCUGGAUACUGUAGGCUCAGUAUGACCCAGUGGAGAUCUGGGCGAAUGAACUGGUGUCCCUGGUGUGUUCAGGUCAAUGUUCACCUCAGAGUCAGUGUGGUCAGCAGUGUCCCUGGGAUGGUCAGUGUUUACUACAUGGUGAACAGUAUCCCCCACUGACCGUCAUUCACCCCCCCCCCCCAGGCAGCAACGAGUACUGGUUCCACUACAUGGACAGAAACAGUGUCCUUCAAUGUGGUCAGUGGUCAGCAAUGUCCAUGGCGUGGUCAGUAGUUACUUUAGUGAAUCAGUGUGAUCAGCAGCAUCCAAUGGGUGGUCAUUGAUCAAUGUGGUCAGUAGCUAACCGCUGUUCCCCCUGCCCAGGCAGCAUGUGGCCCCAGCAUGGUCAGUGGUCACUUUGUGAGCAGUCAGUGGUCACAAUGUGAACAGCAGUGUGAUCAGUGGUCACUUCUGGGUUAUCAGCAUUUCCCCACGGUCUUCCUUCCUCCCCACCAGGCAGCUUUGAGUACUGGUUCCACUGCAUGGAUCUGGAUGGGGACGGGGUGCUCUCUGCCUUUGAGCUGAAGUUCUAUGAGGAACAGAGCCACUGGCUGCAGACUUAAGCAUCAGACCACUGCCCUUCCCUGAGUGCCUCUGCAGAUGCUGGACCCCGUGCAGCCGUAGACCAGGGUAGAGGCCCAGCCCCUUUCCUCUUCUGGCCCUCCCCUAGCCCUCCCCUCCUGGUUCUACCUGCUGCCCUUCCCCAGCUACAUCUGCCGGAUGCUGGACCUUGUUAGGCUGAGGACCCAUGGUAGAGGCCUCACCCCUUCCCCUCCUGGCCUUGCCUUCUCCCCAUCUGCAGGGACCGGAUGGCCAGGAAGGCCAAGCUCUGCCUCUCAGGUCCCAGCUAUUUGCCCCCAGGUUUGGAGGGCAUUGCCGGGGAAGGGUCUUGCCAUUCCCUCAUCUCUGGUGUCAUGUGCCCCCACCUACACUUGGGUCUCCAUCCGGCCCGCAGACCUCCAGCACCCCCUGCUGGCUGAUGCCUGCCUGCCUGCAUACACUCUGGUACUUGGGGGGGUUCACAAGGCCCUGACAUCCAGGUCCCCUACCCCUCACCCCUGUCUACCCCUCCUGAUCUGUGCUUGACUGCCUGUGUCCACUCUGAUCCUCUGAGGCCUCUCUGAGUCCCCAUGUCAAUCUGUCCAUGGCCCUGGUGUCCGUCCAGUGUCUGUCCCCUUGUCCAUCCCAGCGUCCAUGCCCUCACUCUACCUCUGCAGGCCACAUUAUGCUGGAUGACGUGAAGCACUGCCAGCUGCUAGCGCCCAUGUUCUUUGAUACUUUAUUCAACGUGGACAAGCACCUGGACCGUGAGCAGAAUGAGCAGGUGGACUUGACUAGGGUGAAGGUACCCCAUUUAAUGCUGAGCACUACUGAAUAGGGAGACAGGAACUUCCUGAGGAAAGCAGAGCUGUCCAUUUAUGCGAUAGUGGAAGUGAUGUCACAACAGAGGUGGGGACUUCCUGCUGACCUAUUACUCUAAACCCUGGUGUUUUUUAAAACCCAUUUAAAGGCCAAUAAACGGACAGCAGCCAGUUCUUAGGUUUCAAAAUCACUGAGUGGGGCUUUAAGGCCUGGAAGGGGUGUGUGUGGCCACACGUCCAUCUAUGAGAAAUAGGAAGUGAGAUUGCAAGGGAGGUGAGAACUUCUUGAAGGAAAAAGCCCCCUUGACUGACGUCUGUCACCCAGCUGGCCCAGGAGAAGGGGUGGUUGGAGCAGUCGGCUCCUGUAGUCUCUAAGUGGAAAUUUCCGGCUCUGCCUGCAAUGUCACUCAGCCUUAGCCGUCUGCUGGAUACCCAUGGUUUCCUGAAAAGCUGGGGGGAUGCAGUGGCUUUUCCUAGGGCCAACAGGGUCUUGUGGUUCUGACCCAGGAGCCCUUCGACACCACUACCUGCUGCAGACAUGAUGGCACAAGAAACUUCCUCAUUGCUUUUAUAAAUCUAAUGACCAAUGCUGGUGAACACUGACCACUGCUGUCCACUAACCAGUCACCUAUUCUGACCACUUGCCAAUGGCCCCUACUUGACCAGUGACUGCUGGUGACCAACCACUGCUGACCAACGACUCUGCUGACUGCUACUGACCACUGAUGACCACUGCAGACUGCGCGCCUCCCGUGGGAUGGUGAAAACCCUGAGCUGUCAGACUGGAACUGUUUUUUUUGUUGUUGUUGUUGUUUUUUAAUAUUUAUUUUUAUUUAUUUGAAAGAGUUACAGAGAGAGGUAGAGCCAGAAAGAGGUCACUCCCCAAUUGGCUGCAACAGCCAGAGAUGUGGCGAUCUGAAGCCAGGAGCCGGGAGCUUCUUCCGGGUCUCCCUGGGACUUGGGCCAUCUUCCACUGCUUUCCCAGGCCAUAGCAGAGAGCUGGAUCAGAAGUGGAGCAGCCAGGACUGGGACCAGCACCCAUAUAUGAUGCUGGUGCUGCAGGCUGGGGCUUUAACCCACUGUGCCACAGUGCUGGCCCUGGAACCAUUUUGUAGCCAUGGAGUACAAGCUGCUGGUGGCUGAGGUGGUGGCAGGCAGCAGUGGGAGGAUGGGUCAGUGCUGGACGCUCCAGGAAUGGAGAGAGAGGUGUAUGACUUCCAGUGGGGCAGGGGCCCCAGGUGAUGUCAGCAUCUACAUGUCAUGUCCCCAUCCCACUGUCACUCAGGGAGUGCCCUGGCAGAGCUGGGGCCAAUGAGAGGGGUGGGGCUGGAGUAAAGGGCUGCAGCUGUAACUUACAAGGUGGGGCUGGGCAAGGGGUGGCAGAGCUGAGGAGAAGGGGUGGAGCUGAGGGAGAGGGGUGGAGUUGGGAGGGGCAGGGCCAUUUGGAAAGCCCUGGACUAGGAGUGGUACUAUGCCAUGUCCAGCGAGGCCUAUGGCGGCUGCUGCACUGGUGUCAGGGGAGGGGGUAGGUAUGUGGAUUCGGGCAUGACCCAGGAGGCAGGCCCCCCUGCUCAGGCUGCGAAGAGCAGGUGCAUUUGGGGUCUCCCCUGCCACUUGCCUGAAGCUCACCUGUCACCCACCUGGGCAGUCUUCAAAGGCCCGAGAAGGAAGAGCCAAGCCCAUGGAGCAGCAACCCAGUGGACUCUGCCCCAGUGUCCAUUCUGGGAGGCCUCAGAGGCUGCACUCCUGGAAGAGGAUGACACUAUUCAGCUGGUGUGGUACAUGUAAUGUGCGCCCGUGCGCGUGUGUGUGUAUGUAUGUGUAUAUGUGUGUUGCGUGCAAGGCAUACCUUUCUUUAUUCAACCAGUGUUUGCUGUGGGGAUGGAGGGUGUCUGUGUCUGCCUCUAGGCAAAUGGCCCAUCUAGUCCCAUCUAAGUCCCCCGGUGUCCACUCUUGAGUCCAACGUUCACUCUCCCUAGCAGUGUCACCCAAAAGUCACUGAGGAUGUCCACUCCCGCACAGGGGUCAGCUGAAGUCUCCUGGGUCUGAGCCUAGCUGGUUGACAUUCAGACUCAGCCCCAGCAAGGCCUAUCUGUGGCCCACAGCCAAUCAAAACCUUGUGGACCCUAGCAGCUUGAUCAGGGCAUUCUGCUCACCUGUUUCAUUACACCUGCUCCUCACCUGGGAUCCAGGAGCUGUACCCAUGCGAAAGCCCCUGGCCCAGGUCCCCGCCUCUAGGUCUUUCCCUGCCUUUCCCUGGGUUCCAACCUGGGGUCCUUCCAGCCCAAGACUGCCCACAUUGCCCCUGCCUGGUCCCCAGAUCCUCUUCAUCAAGCCUCUACUCUUCCCGUUUGUUUGUACUUGGCUGUUUCCAUUUGCACAUGGCCCUCUCCAUGUGCACACCACCCUCUGGAAGCCUUGGCUCUUUCUGUCGCAGCUCCCCCGCCCUUUCCGUUCACACAGGCCCUCUUCCUAAGCGUUCACCUCUUUUCCGUUUGUACUUGGCCCUUUCUGUUGACAUCUCAAUGUGGUCUUCGUUUGUAAUUCCCUAUAAGAUAUGUUGUUAAACAUCUUUCUCUGUGUUUAAAUACAUCUGUAGAUCUAGUACAGUAUGGUGUAUUCUUGGACAUUUACUCAUUUUAAAUCAGGUGCAUAUUUUAACUUAAAUUCUCGCUAAGUCUUUUAUCUCAUUUGACAUUUUCCAGUUGUAACACAUCUUUUCAUUCUUUAACAGCAUCUUUCAAAAAGACAAAAACUUUAACUUUCACACAAUUAUUUAUUAAUUUUUUGUUUAGAUAUUCUAUUGGUGUUACAUUGAAAUCUGAUAAACCCAAUGGCAUCUUUUUUUCAUGUAGACAUUUUAUGUUUUACAGUUUUCAUUUAGCACUGUGAUUCAAGUUAAAUUGUAAAAGGUUUAUAUCUAUGGUCUUUUUUAUGUAAGUGUCUAAAUGUUUAAGGUGGAUAAUUUUAUGUUUGUUGGGUUUGAGAAUCACUUAAGUCACUUGAAACCAGCUGCAUCCUUUCAAGUUGUAAUUUUAUUCUUUAGAUGGUUCUGGGUUAGUGUUAAAUUGUUCAUUAGUUUUUCUUAUCAAAAAAGCAAAUAUUUUCUUAAAAUUCUAUUCCAGGUCCCAAGAAUGAAGUGUUCUACCCUGGUUUGAAGCAACAGGCUCUAUGUCCAUGAAUCUCUGCUAUGGCCUGGGAAAGCAGUGGAAGAUGGCCCAAGUCUUUGUGACCCUGCACCCACGUGGGAGACUUGGAAGAAGCUCCUGGCUUUGGAUCGGUGCAGCUCUGUCCUUUGCGGCCAACUUGGGAGUGAACCAGCAGAUGGAAGACUCUCUCUCUCUGCCUCUCAUUCUUUCUCUGUGUAACUCUUACUUUCAAAUAAAUGAAUCAAUCUUUUUAAAAAAAAAGUUCUGUGCUUUACUCAGACCAAGGUAUUACAAAUAUGCACUGCUGAUAGUUAUAAUUUCAAAGAAAAGUAUAAAGACUUAAAAAGGCAUUCAGCUGUCAUGAAAAACUAGUUAUUACCAUAAAAUGAGUAAUUUUUUGGGAGAAACAAUGGCAAAAUGAAUGAAUACAGGCAAAAUGGCUGAAAAGCAGAUCAUUAUAAUUACAUUAAAAAUGUGAAAGAAAAAAUUUCAGCAAAAGUAAUAAAGAUCAUAAUAGCUCAUACAAAGUUAAAGUAAGGAUGCCUGAGGCAGUGUUAUGGUGCAGUAGGGUUUACCCUCCAUUUGGGAUGACCUCAUUUCAUUUCAGAGUGCCUGACCCAAGUCUCAUCUAUUUUUCACUGCUGACUCAGGGCCCUGCUUAUGUACACUAGAGGAAGUAAACGAUGGCUUAUGUUCCAAAAAAAAAAAAACCAAACAAACCUGCUAGCAGUAAAAAAAAAACUGGCUUCCUUACUCUGAUCAAGAUUAUUGAAAAAGGAUCCUACAUCAAAGAACACAAUACAUACAAGAACAUUGACUGCUUUUUUCCCUGGAAGUAAGCCUAGAGCAGGUGCCUCCACUAUCUCCAAUUUCUUAUUGGAGGAGCAGUUGGGGAGGGGAGAGCAAAAAUAAAAAAUAAGGUGUAGAGGUCUCUAAGCAAUAAAAUGUCAAUAUAUCGGAGGUAUUUAGAGAGAAUCCAAAAAAUCUAAAAACAGAUACAACUGAUAAAUGAAUUUAAUGAGAUUUCUAGAAAGAUCAAUAAUUUUAAAAUCCACUAGAUUACCUUGUACUAGCAAGAAACAAAUAGAAAAUAUUAAAAGUCAAUAGGCGGCCGGCGCCGCAGCUCCUCAAUAGGCUAAUCCUCUGCCUGUGGCGCCGGCACACUGGGUUCUAGUCCCAGUUGGGGUGCCAGAUUCUGUCCCGGUUGCCCCUCUUCCAGUCCUAGCUCUCUGCUGUGGCCCAGGAAGGCAGUGGAAGAUGGCCCAGGUGCUUGGGCCCUGCACGCGCAUGGGAGACCAGGAGGAAGCACCUGGCUCCUGGCUUCGGAUCAGCGCGGUGCAUCGGCCACAGCGCGCCAGCCGAAGCAGCCAUUGGAGGGCGAACCAACGGUAAAGGAAGACCUUUUUCUCUGUCUUUCUCUCUCACUGUCCAUUCUGCCUGUCAGGAAAAAAAAAAAAAAGUCAAUAGGCAGAGUAGAAAACAAAUGCUGACAGGAGAAAAGGGAAGGAAAGGAUUAAAUCAUGUGAUGUCUUUCAGCAUUCUUCCAAUCAAUAUUAAAAAGUAACACAAACGACCCUACAGGAUAAUGAGUCACAAUACGAAGAAAAUAAAGCCCAGAGGCCGAUGCACAGAACUGUGACUCACUGAAGCAUUUACUGCACCGAGAGCUCCAGCAGGGACCCAUCAGGGAGGGCAGGGCCACAGGAGGGACCCGGCAGGUGCAGGAGCAGAGGGGAGAGGCCUCCCGCCUGGGGAGGUGGAGUCCGACCUGCACCCAGACCUCGCCUCCUGCUGCUCCCACCCAGCACAAUCUGAAGUCAGGGGCCCAUUGCCGUGAAGGAUGUUGAUGGGCUGUGUCCUUUGUGACACUUUGUGCGCUCACGGCCAUGCACGCUGUCCAAUCAGGCACGACGACGUCCACGUCACGUCAUCACGUGGGGUCUUGACGUCACAGUCAUCUUACAGUUCUGGGCAGGAGCUAGGUGCUAGGAGAUGGCUCCGCUGCCACAAGGCUCCCGAAGGAAGUUGGGUUUGUGGCCUCCACCUUCAUCACCGGGGGACGCUGGACACCUGGAGCUGAAAACCGCGACGUGGACCGAGCCGCGGGACUGAGCCGCGGAAGCCGAGCCGCGGGACUGAGCUGCGCAAGCUACAGGGUCUGCGCGCAAGUGCUCGAAGGGGAGUGCAACAGCGGGGAGACUUGGGAAGUCCAGGGCUCCGAGUCCACACAUCGGCGCUGGAAGGGGAGCAGACCUGCGUGGAGAGCGUGGGAGCCCACAGUUCGGGACAUCAGCGGCAGACUCAACACACCAGCGCUGGAACGCGAGGUGAGCCGAACCUCAAUAACCCGAGACACCGGCAGGCAAGCGGAGAGAGGAGACUAGAGGGAACGACCCCCGGGGCGGGGGGGACUUCACCAAGCUAACUGGAAGAGAGAGAGAGGGAAAAAAAAAAAGGUGACUGGUAUGGACACGGGUU